rnacentral:rRNA from 1 species
AAUCAACGCUGGCGGCGUGCCUAACACAUGCAAGUCGAACGAGAAAGGGACUUCGGUCCUGAGUAUAGUGGCGCACGGGUGAGUAACACGUGACUAAUCUACCCUCGAGUGGGGAAUAACUGAGAGAAAUCUUAGCUAAUACCGCAUAACACUUACGAGUCAAAGCAGCAAUGCGCUUGGGGAGGAGGUCGCGGCCGAUUAGCUAGUUGGCGGGGUAAUGGCCCACCAAGGCGAUGAUCGGUAUCCGGCCUGAGAGGGCGCACGGACACACUGGAACUGAAACACGGUCCAGACUCCUACGGGAGGCAGCAGUGGGGAAUUUUGCGCAAUGGGGGAAACCCUGACGCAGCAACGCCGCGUGGAGGAUGAAGUAUCUCGGUACGUAAACUCCUUUCGAUGGGGAAGAUAAUGACGGUACCCAUAGAAGAAGCCCCGGCUAACUUCGUGCCAGCAGCCGCGGUAAUACGAGGGGGGCAAGCGUUGUUCGGAUUUAUUGGGCGUAAAGGGUGCGUAGGCGGUUUGGCAAGUCUUGUGUGAAAUCUAUGGGCUCAACCCAUAGCCUGCACGAGAAACUACCG